rnacentral:rRNA from 1 species
CCUACGGGCGGCUGCAGUGGGGAAUAUUGGACAAUGGGCGAAAGCCUGAUCCAGCCAUGCCGCGUGUGUGAAGAAGGCCUUCGGGUUGUAAAGCACUUUCAGUGGGGAAGAAAGCCUUGGGGCUAAUACCCUCGAGGAAGGACAUCACCCACAGAAGAAGCACCGGCUAACUCCGUGCCAGCAGCCGCGGUAAUACGGAGGGUGCGAGCGUUAAUCGGAAUUACUGGGCGUAAAGCGCGCGUAGGCGGUCUGAUAAGCCGGUUGUGAAAGCCCCGGGCUCAACCUGGGAACGGCAUCCGGAACUGUCAGGCUAGAGUGCAGGAGAGGAAGGUAGAAUUCCCGGUGUAGCGGUGAAAUGCGUAGAGAUCGGGAGGAAUACCAGUGGCGAAGGCGGCCUUCUGGACUGACACUGACGCUGAGGUGCGAAAGCGUGGGUAGCAAACAGGAUUAGAUACCCCGGUAGU